rnacentral:rRNA from 1 species
UAGGGAAUCUUCGGCAAUGGACGAAAGUCUGACCGAGCAACGCCGCGUGAGUGAAGAAGGUUUUCGGAUCGUAAAACUCUGUUGUUAGAGAAGAACAAGGACGUUAGUACAUGAACGUCCCCUGACGGUAUCUAACCAGAAAGCCACGGCUAACUACGUGCCAGCAGCCGCGGUAAUACGUAGGUGGCAAGCGUUGUCCGGAUUUAUUGGGCGUAAAGCGUGCGCAGGCGGUUGCUUAAGUCUGGUGUGAAAGCCCCCGGCUCAACCGGGGAGGGUCAUUGGAAACUGGGAGACUAGAGUGCGGAAGAGGAGAGUGGAAUUCCAUGUGUAGCGGUGAAAUGCGUAGAUAUAUGGAGGAACACCAGUGGCGAAGGCGGCUCUCUGGUCUGUAACUGACGCUGAGGCUCGAAAGCGUGGGGAGCAAACAGG